rnacentral:rRNA from 1 species
UGGGGAAUAUUGCACAAUGGGCGCAAGCCUGAUGCAGCCAUGCCGCGUGUGUGAAGAAGGCCUCGGUUGUAAGCACUUUCAGCGAGGAGGAAGGUGGUGAGCUUAAUACGCUCAUCAAUUGACGUUACUCGCAGAAGAAGCACCGGCUAACUCCGUGCCAGCAGCCGCGGUAAUACGGAGGGUGCAAGCGUUAAUCGGAAUUACUGGGCGUAAAGCGCACGCAGGCGGUUUGUUAAGUCAGAUGUGAAAUCCCCGGGCUCAACCUGGGAACUGCAUUUGAAACUGGCAAGCUAGAGUCUCGUAGAGGGGGGCUAGAAUUCCAGGUGUAGCGGUGAAAUGCGUAGAGAUCUGGAGGAAUACCGGUGGCGAAGGCGGCCCCCUGGACGAAGACUGACGCUCAGGUGCGAAAGCGUGGGGCAGCAAACAGGAUUAGAUACCCUGGUAGUCCAGCGCUGUAAACGAUGUCGAUUUGGAGGCUGUGCCCUUGAGGCGUGGCUUCCGGAGCUAACGCGUUAAAUCGACCGCCU